AGCGAACGCUGGCGGCAGGCCUAACACAUGCAAGUCGAACGAACUCUUCGGAGUUAGUGGCGGACGGGUGAGUAACACGUGGGAACGUGCCUUUAGGUUCGGAAUAACUCAGGGAAACUUGUGCUAAUACCGAAUGUGCCCUUCGGGGGAAAGAUUUAUCGCCUUUAGAGCGGCCCGCGUCUGAUUAGCUAGUUGGUGAGGUAAAGGCUCACCAAGGCCACGAUCAGUAGCUGGUCUGAGAGGAUGAUCAGCCACAUUGGGACUGAGACACGGCCCAAACUCCUACGGGAAGCAGCAGUGGGGAAUCUUGCGCAAUGGGCGAAAGCCUGACGCAGCCAUGCCGCGUGAAUGAUGAAGGUCUUAGGAUUGUAAAAUUCUUUCACCGGGGACGAUAAUGACGGUACCCGGAGAAGAAGCCCCGGCUAACUUCGUG
rnacentral:rRNA from 1 species